AGACACCCUUCUGGGGCAAGACUUGCUUCAGUGGGGCUUUGGUGCUCACUGAGUCUGCCUCAUGAGUGUGUCCCU
rnacentral:pre_miRNA from 1 species